GCCAGGCACAGUGGUGUAUGCCUGUAAUCCCAGUGGCUGGGGAGACCGAGGCAAGAGGAUCAUGAGUUCAAAGCCAGCCUCAGCAACAGUGAGGUGCUAAGCAACUCAGUGAGAUCCUGUCUCUA
rnacentral:sRNA from 1 species